rnacentral:tRNA from 1 species
GCCUCGUUAGCGCGCAGGUGGCGCGUCAGUCUCAUAAUCUGAAGGCCGUGAGUUCGAUCCUCACACGGGGCA